rnacentral:rRNA from 1 species
CGGACGGGUGAGUAAUGUCUGGGAAACUGCCCGAUGGAGGGGGAUAACUACUGGGAACGGUAGCUAAUACCGCAUAACGUCGCAAGACCAAAGAGGGGACCUUCGGGCCUCUUGCCAUCGGAUGUGCCCAGAUGGGAUUAGCUAGUAGGUGGGGUAACGGCUCACCUAGGCGACGAUCCCUAGCUGGUCUGAGAGGAUGACCAGCCACACUGGAACUGAGACACGGUCCAG